rnacentral:rRNA from 1 species
UACGUAGGGGGCAAGCGUUGUCCGGAAUCAUUGGGCGUAAAGAGCGUGUAGGCGGCCCGGUAAGUCCGCUGUGAAAGUCCAGGGCUCAACCCUGGGACGCCGGUGGAUACUGUCGGGCUCGAGUCCGGAAGAGGAGUGUGGAAUUCCUGGUGUAGCGGUGGAAUGCGCAGAUAUCAGGAGGAACACCAAUAGCGAAGGCAGCUCGCUGGGACGGUACUGACGCUGAGGCGCGAAAGCGUGGGGAGCGAACAGG